rnacentral:misc_RNA from 1 species
GCAAACUUGGUCAUUUAGAGGAAGUAAAAGUCGUAACAAGGUCUCCGUUGGUGAACCAGCGGAGGGAUCAUUAUCGAGUUCUAAAAAACUCCCAAACCCAUGUGAACAUACCUUUUGUUGCUUCGGCGGGAUCGCCCCGGGUGCCAUUCAGUUGCGCCCCGGAGUCAGGCGCCCGCCAGAGGACCGAAACUCUUGUAUUAUUGAGAAUCUCUGAGUGGAUUAAACAAAUAAUCAAAACUUUCAACAACGGAUCUCUUGGUUCUGGCAUCGAUGAAGAACGCAGC